rnacentral:tRNA from 1 species
UCCCUGGUGGCUCAGUGGUAAAGCAUUUGCCUGCAGUGCAGGAGACAUAGGUUUGAUCCCUGGGUGGGGAA